rnacentral:misc_RNA from 1 species
GAUGAAGAACGCAGUGAAAUGCGAUAAGUAAUGUGAAUUGCAGAAUUCAGUGAAUCAUCGAAUCUUUGAACGCACCUUGCACCCUUUGGACUGCUCCAAAGGGUAUGCUCGUUUGAGUGUCAUUGUACUCUCACACUCUCUGAUCCUUUGGAUUUGGGGAGCGGUGGACUUGGGUGCUUGCUGCUUCCUUGUGGCUCACCUGAAAUGCAUCAGUGCAUCUCUCGAUUGGACAUAGCACGGCGUGAUAAGUGUCUUCGCCGGCACCUCAUAUGAGGGUGGCCGAUCGGGAGCUCUGUGCUUUCAAACCGUCUUCGGACAACGCUGACAACUUGACCUCAAAUCGAGUAGGACUACCCGCUGAACUUAAGCAUAUCAAUAAGCGGAGGA